UACGUAGGGUGCGAGCGUUAAUCGGAAUACUGGGCGUAAAGCGUGCGCAGGCGGUUUUGUAAGCCAGAUGUGAAAUCCCCGGGCUUAACCUGGGAAUGGCAUUUGGGACUGCAAGGCUGGAGUGUGGCAGAGGAGACUGGAAUUCCUGGUGUAGCAGUGAAAUGCGUAGAUAUCAGGAGGAAUACCGAUGGCGAAGGCAGGUCUCUGGGCUGACACUGACGCUCAUGCACGAAAGCGUGGGGAGCGAAACAA
rnacentral:rRNA from 1 species